rnacentral:tRNA from 2 species
CAGGAAGUAGUUUAUGUGAAAAUAUUAAUUUUGGAGAUUAAUGAUGAAGGAAAGAUCCUUUCUGA